CAGCAGCCGCGGGAAUACGAAGGGUGCAAGCGUUAAUCGGAAUUACUGGGCGUAAAGCGUGCGUAGGCGGUUUGUUAAGUCUGUUGUGAAAUCCCCGGGCUCGACCUGGGAAUGGCAAUGGAUACUGGCAAGCUAGAGUGUGUCAGAGGAUGGUGGAAUUCCCGGUGUAGCGGUGAAAUGCGUAGAGAUCGGGAGGAACAUCAGUGGCGAAGGCGGCCAUCUGGGACAACACUGACGCUGAGGCACGAAAGCGUGGGGAGCAAACAGGAUUAGAUACCCCGGUAGUCCCUGUCUCUUAUAC
rnacentral:rRNA from 1 species